AGUGAACGCUGGCGGUAGGCCUAACACAUGCAAGUCGAACGGCAGCACAGUAAGAGCUUGCUCUUACGGGUGGCGAGUGGCGGACGGGUGGGGUAUACAUCGGAAUCUACUUUUUUGUGGGGGAUAACGUAGGGAAACUUACGCUAAUAUCGCAUACCACCUACGGGUGAAAGCAGGGGAUCUUCGGACCUUGCGCGAUUGAAUGAGCCGAUGUCGGAUUAGCUAGUUGGCGGGGUAAAGGCCCACCAAGGCGGCGGUCCGUAGCUGGUCUGAGAGGAGGAUCACCGACAGUGGAGCUGAGACACGAUCCAGACUCCUACGGGAGGCAGCAAGGGGGAAUAUAGGACAAUGGGCGGAAUACUGAUCAAGCCAUACAGCAUGGGUGAAGAAAGGCUGCGGGUUGUAAAGCCCUUUUGUUGGGAAAGAAAAGCAGCAGGAUAAAACCCCGCUGUUCUGACGGUACCCAAAGAAUAAGCACCGGCUAACUUCGUG
rnacentral:rRNA from 1 species